UGAGCACCAACACCAAUGCCAACCAGACAUUGAAAUUUAACAUCAACUUUCUGUGCCUUUCUUUAAAUAAUACAUUCCAAGUUAACUCUCCACAACCAGCAUUCCCUUCAGCCCUCAAUGCGUCGAUGACGCGAUGUGUCGCCGCUGCUGCAACUGCUCCAACUACCCGUUCGUGUGGUGCCAGAGGUCAGCGGCGUGCCGCGGGGUGUGCCGCGAGGCCGGGCCCGACGAGUGGCGCCGCCUGGUGGCCGUCUGCCGCGAGUGUCUACAAGUCUGCAGGAAGGUGGCCCGGUGUCUCUGCCAGCUCAUCUGCCAGUGCCUGUGUUGUUUUGGAAAGUACAAUAGAAAGUGCAAUAAAAAGUGCUUCAAGAAAUUAUAAUGACUGCCUUUUACACAGAUCCUAUGCUGCUCUAAGCAACUGCCUUCCUGCUACUUCGACGAUGUCGUCUUCGCACCUGGCAGCUGACAACAUAUCGUCGGUAUAAACCAGGUUGUCCGAUGUCCGCCUCACACACUAGAUGAAGAUGAACGGCGAAAUGUGCAUGCAAUUUACACAACUAACUGGUGACAAAGUGCGACCGCCUCCAAACGACUGCCCUGAUAUGAAAUUAAUCAUACCUAUUAUUAUUUAGUGAAAGUUUUGUGAAAAUAAUGUAAUGUGUUGUCUAAUUAUUUAUUUAUUUAAUAAACCUUUUGUUUAAAGAAG